AGCAGCCGCGGUAAUUCCAGCUCCAAUAGCGUAUAUUAAAGUUGUUGCAGUUAAAAGCUCGUAGUUGAAUUUCGGGAUCAGUACGCUGGUCAUGCCUUUGGUAUGCACUGGUGUCACUGGUUUCUCCCUUCUGAAGAUCCGUGAUGUCAUUAAUUUGGUAGUCGCGGGGAAUCAGGACUGUUACUUUGAAAAAAAUUAGAGUGUUUAAAGCAGGCUCACGCUUGAAUACAUUAGCAUGGAAUAAUGAAAUAGGACGUUUGACCCUAUUUUGUUGGUUUCUAGGAUCGACGUAAUGAUUAAUAGGGAUAGUUGGGGGCAUUAGUAUUCAAUUGUCAGAGGUGAAAUUCUUGGAUUAUUGAAGACUAACUACUGCAGAAAGCAUUUGCCAAGGAUGUUUUCAUUAAUCAAGAACGAAAGUUAGGGGAUCGAAGACGAUCAGAUACCGUCG
rnacentral:misc_RNA from 1 species